rnacentral:lncRNA from 1 species
CCCAAAAAAAAAGUAUUUUAACCAAUAGUUACAACCAGGAUCAAAAGUUUUAACUUAUUUUUGGAUUUCAAAAGUUUUCCAACAACCACAAUUCUUGUUCUACCGAGUUGCUGCAUUCUUCCUUGUCAUUGGAGGGGCAAUGGAAUUCACCCCUCUGAUCGCCCUUUUGUUCUUUGCACAGAAGCUUACACUAACUUUCCUUCCCCCUCCUUGAAUUGCCUGACUUAGAAAGUGAAGAACCGACAUUCAUAGCUUCUGCUUCCUUAUGCGCCCUUUUUUCUGCACCAUUAUAGGAGCACAUGUAAAAAACAAUAGUACUCUCAUUGAACCAGACCUCAAAUUGGAAAAUGGAAAUGCCAUAUUAUAGCUUACAUUAGAAUCAAAUGGCUGCUUGAGAGCUUUGUAUUCCGGUUUCACAUUCCUAUUUCCAUUACAGAAUGGAGACCUUAUUAUGAAUAAUGUUGAAUCGUAAUUAUUUUUAUAAAUAUCCUAUUUAUUCAUUUCAACCUUUUAUUUAAGUUUAAUUCAAAUUUUAGUGACACUCGAAUUGUUAAAGAUUCGGAUUGUCACAUGUUUACUUCAAAACUAGAUUGAAAACCAUCAUUUCUAGAAUCAAAAUUUUGCUAAAUCAUCACGGAAUGCAGUCAUCACAAUUUAAUAUAAUGAUCGAGAACAAAACAAAUUGUAAAUGAGUUCCUUUGCAUUUCUUUGUCCUAGAAAGUAUUAAUUUCAACAAACUCAAAAUGCUGCUCAAAGGACACCUUUGAAUGAGAAACUAGGUAAACAAACUGUGGGGAAUCUGUUUACCUAAAGUCAUCACCGGCAAAGGAUUACAAGAUUAUAUCUUGCCAAACCAGUAUAACAGGAAUUCCAACACGAAAGUCAAACACACAAAUCAACAACCUUUUUUUUUUUAACAAUAAAAAACAAAAAAAAUCAGGAGAAGAUUUUAACAGCCUUCAAUGUGGGAUUACCUCCCAUCGGAGUGGACUUCAUAAUCGAUCAAAGUAACCAUAGCUGCCGAAACUUUCAAUCUUACCAUCUUUGCGCGGAAGUGGAUUCAAAUUUCAUUUAGCACAAACCAUAUUACAAUGGGAAAGAUGGAUUUUCAAAAUGGAUUUGAGGUUUAUGGUUUGGGGUAUUUUUUAGUUUUUACACAAUUCUUCUCUCGAUUUUGUCCUACAGAGGCGAAGAGCAAUGAAAUGGAUUUGGGGGUUAGGGUUAGGGAUUCGGUUUGUCUGGAAAUGAUAAGGCGGGUUUGUUUGGAAUUGGGUAAGGCAUGCUUAGCUGAUGUGGAGGAUCUAAUUAACCAUUUAACGGUCCAAGUUAUUAGUCCGUCAUCCCUGUAAGCAGAUCUACCUACGAAUUUUUGAUUUGGCGCGUGAUGGAGUGGGACAGAGCAAAAUUUAGUGGUUAAUGGGACAUUUCAUGUAGUUCGAUGAGUAAGUUGUGAUAUAGUGCAAGUUCAGUGGCCAUUGAAACAUUCAACUCUAACUCGUU